CAAGUCUUGUCGGUGGAUCACUUGGUUCGUAGAUCGAUGAAGAACGGGGCAAAAACCGUUAUAUAGCGUGAAUUGCAGACAUAUUGACGCUAAAAUUUUGAACGCAAAUGGCACUAACAGGUUUAUAUCUGUUAGUAUGUUCAAUUGAGGGUCGAUU
rnacentral:rRNA from 1 species